rnacentral:sRNA from 1 species
GCUGGGCUCAGUGGCGCACACCUGUAAUCCCAGUGGCUCAGGAGGCUGAGGCAGGAGGAUCGUGAGUUCAAAGCCAGCCUCAGCAACUUAGUGAGAACCUGUCUCUA